rnacentral:rRNA from 1 species
UACGUAGGGGGCAAGCGUUGUCCGGAUUUAUUGGGCGUAAAGGGCGCGUAGGCGGUGCGGUAAGUCACCUGUGAAAUCUCCUGGCUCAACUGGGAGCUUGCAGGCGAAACUGCCGUGCUGGAGUGUGGGAGAGGUGCGUGGAAUUCCUGGUGUAGCGGUGAAAUGCGUAGAUAUCAGGAGGAACACCAGUGGCGAAGGCGGCUCACUGGCCCGUUACUGACGCUGAGGCGCGAAAGCGUGGGGAGCAAACAGG